GCCCUUCGUGCCAGCAGCCGCGGUAAUACGGAGGGUGCGAGCGUUAAUCGGAAUGACUGGGCGUAAAGGGCAUGUAGGCGGAUAAUUAAGUUAGGUGUGAAAGCCCUGGGCUCAACCUAGGAAUUGCACUUAAAACUGGUUAACUAGUGUAUUGUAGAGGAAGGUAGAAUUCCACGUGUAGCGGUGAAAUGCGUAGAGAUGUGGAGGAAUACCGGUGGCGAAGGCGGCCUUCUGGACAGAUACUGACGCUGAGAUGCGAAAGCGUGGGGAGCAAACAGGAUUAGGUACCCUGGUAGUCCACGCUGUAAACGAUGUCGAUUUGGAGUUUGUUGCCUAGAGUGAUGGGCUCCGAAGCUAACGCGAUAAAUCGACCGCCUGGGGAGUACGGCCGCAAGGUUAAAACUCAAAUGAAUUGACGGGGGCCCGCACAAGCGGUGGAGCAUGUGGUUUAAUUCGAUGCAACGCGAAGAACCUUACCUGGUCUUGACAUCCACAGAAUCUUGCAGAGAUGCGAGGGUGCCUUCGGGAACUGUGAGACAGGUGCUGCAUGGCUGUCGUCAGCUCGUGUUGUGAAAUGUUGGGUUAAGUCCCGCAACGAGCGCAACCCUUAUCCUUUGUUGCCAUCGGUUCGGCCGGGAACUCAAAGGAGACUGCCGUUGAUAAAGCGGAGGAAGGUGGGGACGACGUCAAGUCAUCAUGGCCCUUACGACCAGGGCUACACACGUGCUACAAUGGCGUAUACAAAGGGAGGCGACCUCGCGAGAGCAAGCGGACCUCAUAAAGUACGUCUAAGUCCGGAUUGGAGUCUGCAACUCGACUCCAUGAAGUCGGAAUCGCUAGUAAUCGUGAAUCAGAAUGUCACGGUGAAUACGUUCCCGGGCCUUGUACACACCGCCCGUCACACCAUGGGAGUGGGUUGCACCAGAAGUAGAUAGCUUAACCGCGAGGGGGGCGUUUACCACGGUGUGGUCCAUGACUGGGGUGAAGUCGUAAC
rnacentral:rRNA from 1 species